AGUCGUAGAUUCCAAGGCAGUCCUGUUUCACAGAUGAGGAAAUUGGAGCACAGAGAAGGGAAGUAAUGUUUUCAGUGGUACCCAGCUAGAAAGAGGUGGAGGCCAGGACUGGAACCUGGUGUGUGGUCUUGGACCAGCCAAGAAUAUUGUCCCUGAAUGGGGACAACAUGCACUCCUGAGUGUCUCACCACAAAUGACAUCGGGAAGUGUGAGUGUAUUUGUGUGUGGGUGAGUAGGGGGUGAGGGGCUGAGGCAGGGGAGGAACUUAUUUUUUUCUUAAUCAUAUCAGAAUCAGCAUUGAGCAGUUUCUCUACUUAAAAUGGAUUUUGAAAAGCACUUUGAUAUUCAAGGAGGUAAUUACGGCUGAGACUUCUUUUGAUCCACUUCUGGAAGCAGGGGAGGCAAUGAAGACCUGCUGUUAGGCUUAUAUUGGCUCAAGCCCCUUGGUUACUGUAUAUCACCUAAUGUAAAGUAUCCCCCAUACUUUACCCUAGUAUAGUUAUUAUACACAUGUUGUGUAUAUACAUUAUACAUAGUAUGUAAGACAAUCCCCUAUUUUUCCAAAGAGAUUAAUAGAAAAUCUUCUAUUAAUUAGACUUUUCUAUUAAUAGAAAAAUUUUUGCCAACUUGAAUAAAUAAACAUUUAAGGAUAUAAAUGAAAGUGUCAAAUAUCUGCUUGUAACAUUUAAUUUAAUAAUAUAGAUCAACAAUAUAUGGAUUUGGAGAUGUUACUUUUUUCUAAUCUGACACAAAUUCAGGAAACAAUUGUAUCCAAAUUAUUCCUCUGCAUCUUCAACAUCAGCAUCUCCCUUCUCCACAGUGUCUUUCUGAGGCAGCUGACUCAGCUCUCCAGAGCAGCUCAUCCCUACUUCUGUCUGUGUCUUUUAGAGGCAGCCCUGUUUACCUGAGAAGGAGGCUGUCACCUGGAAAUUGUAUCUCAGCAAGAAGUACCUAUUAGCAAUAAUAUUAGGGCAGCAUUAAAAAGUAUGUAGGAUCUCCACAGCCUAAUACCUUGCUAUAUCGCUUUGUAAUGAUGAUCCUUAAAGGUUGCUUUGGGUGCUACUUAGUGCUUGUAACAGUGAGGUCAUAUAUCCACAGGAAUAAUAAUAUAUGGACAUUCAAUUUAGUUGCCUCCUUUUUAAAAAAACAGUCCCAUCAAGUGACCUCUAUAAGCCAUCCAGCUUUGAAUGAGGUUGUUUCAGGCUAAUAUGCCUUUCUCAAGUGGUUAUUUUUUUUUUUUAAGUGUUAUUGAAUACAAGAGUGGGAGAAGAAGAUAAGGUUGUAGAUGAGGUAGGAUUGGCCAGAGGUUGAUGGUUAUGUGGCUGGGGAAACAGGCAUAUGGGAGUUCAUUAAAUAAUUAGGUCAAUAUUGUUUGUAAGAAUUUCUAUUAAAAAACAGUUUAAAUAAAUGGAGUAAUUGAGAGACUGUCCUGUAGCAUGAGAGACUUUAUAAGACUCUGAAGCCAAGGCAAACCCUUUUUAUGAGGAAUAAUUUUGGGGGGAAUUUGCCUUAUAUUUGAGCAUGUAAGGUAUAUACCUGUCUCUGCCCUUCCUGUAGCUGUCAGUUACUAAUCUCCAGAACAACUUGGUUUUCUUUGUUUUUUUUUUCAGAACAACUUGUUGACUAUUCAUUUAUGUUCUAUACUCUGAGUUCUUUGAGGGCAAAACAGUUUUAAUAUCCCCAGAAUGUAACACAGAGCCUAGCCCAGAGUUAGUCCUCCGUAAACAUUUGUUGAGUGAAUGAAUGAAUGAAUGAAUGCAUGCAUGCAUGUGUGAAUGAAGAUCAGUGACUUGUCCGCGAUUAUACAGUGGUAAAUUGCAGAGCCAUGACUGGCCUCAGGUCCUUUGACUCCUACUCCAGUGCUCAUUCCCAUCAUUCCAGGACUGCCUAUACCUUGUCUUGUCCUGGCCAAUUCUAUAGCCACUCCCUGGCUUCUGACUAGCUUUCACACACACAGGCAUAGCAGAGCUGUGCUGUGUAAUACCAUAGCCACUCACCCGUCACAUGAUGUUAUAAUGUGUAUAUUGGUGACAUGUUGAAAUUACAAUUUUUUGAUAUAUUGGGUUAAAUGUUUUAAAAUUAAUUUCACCUGUUCCUUUUCACAUUUUAAAAAAUAAGUUUACUAGAAAAUUUAAGUUUCCAUAUGUGGUUUGCAUUAUAUAUCUUUUGGACAGCACUGGUAGGGGGGUUAAGAUUUAUAUAGAAGUUUGGAGAACACUGGCCAGGAGACAAACUAAGGUAGACUCUGCCUCUCUGAACUCUAUUUCCAGCAACUACAGGUUGACCUGUGGACAGACCACUGUUGUGACGAUACUACAGAAAAUCACGCUCCUCUCCAGGAUCCUUCUGUCCACCACUGCAGAAACCUGUACUGCUCAGACCCCCAUCCCACCCACAGGUUCUAAGGAGAAUAUCCAGGGGUUGAAAGGGAUGCAGCAGCAAAUGCUCACAUCGUUCUUCCAUGGCUCCGUUAAACAGGGCAUCCUCCUGCUGCCUGGGAAAACAAGACACCCCUCGCCAUGGAAAGCAUCCCCACCGUUGCCUGUACCCACUCAGACAUCCAAGUUGAUGCAAGGAGAAUAAAGGCCUAGAAAACUGGAUCUCAGAUGAAGAAACCCAGCUUUCUUCUUACAACAACUUGUGUGGCAGGGGCAGAAUAGAUUUUCAAGAUUGCCAUCUCAUGUACAAACAAGAUGAGGCAUAAAAAGUGACAUUUGGGGGUAAUUUUUUACCCAACUUCUUUUUCCAAGAUCCACCCUUCUCUGACUAAAGAUGAUGCUCAAAGGCCAAAAGGCAGCGUGUGUUGUAAAGCAUCCUGAAUUGGAAGACACAGGUUCUAAUCUUGACCCUGCAGCCUUAACAUGGGUCAAAAAUGAUGAUUAUGUCCUGCACUUUCCUCACAGGAUCACUGUGAAGGUCAUGGAAAGAUGAUGGAAUUCAAAGCAGCACUGAGAAGCUGUUCAAAGCAUUUUCAGAGAAUGUGUUCUCCAUAUCAGUCUGAGGAUAUCAUCUCUGUUAAACAACUCUAGAAGAUUAAACGAGGCCGAAUCUCUCAAUUAAUGGACAUCCUCCGUUGAGACUUCCAGUUUUCGCUGUGGAACA